rnacentral:rRNA from 1 species
GACGAACGCUGGCGGCGUGCUUAACACAUGCAAGUCGAACGGAAAGGCCCUGCUUUUGUGGGGUGCUCGAGUGGCGAACGGGUGAGUAACACGUGAGUAACCUGCCCGUGACGUUGGGAUAACUUCAGGAAACUGGGGCUAAUACCGGAUAGGAGCUCGUGCUGCAUGGUGGGGGUUGGAAAGUUUCGGCGGUUGGGGAUGGACUCGCGGCUUAUCAGCGUGUGGGUGGGGUAGUGGCUUACCAAGGCUUUGACGGGUAGCCGGCCUAAGAGGGUGACCGGCCACAUUGGGACUGAGAUACGGCCCAGACUCCUACGGGAGGCAGCAGUGGGGAAUAUUGCACAAUGGGCGGAAGCCUGAUGCAGCAACGCCGCGUGCGGGAUGACGGCCUUCGGGUUGUAAACCCCUUCCGCCUGUGACGAAGCGUGAGUGACGGUAAUGGGUAAAGAAGCACCGGCUAACUACGUG